CCGGUGUUUACAAGAGCUCCCGAAAUUGAAAAUUACCGAUGUUCAUCGAAUUUGCAGGACGACUAAAUCCCCAGCCAGCAAAUUGGACAAAGGGUUCAAGUUAUAUGCUGCAUCAUAUAUUCAUGAUUACGAAGAUAAAGCUUCGUGAUUCCUCGCCGGUGGUGUUAACAACAGUGCCUGCAACUGUGUUGCAGGCACUGUUUUGUGCAAUCACACUGUGGCACUGCUUUACCAAACAGCUUAUUAUAGUCAACUGAACAUACCAGUCGUGCCCCCUGUCCAUAGCUGCACAGAAUCAGAACAGCAAUGGCACAAGCCACGUACAAUGGUAAUUUAAUUGAGGUUUUAAAGUGUUCUUGUUUGACUGUUUUCAUUUAAAGUGACUCCACACGAUGCAAAUGUGCUCUCUGUUAGGGUGUGAAGCCAGGACCCAUCAACUCCAAGGUCUUCACCAAACCUGUACCUAAUAGGAUGGUCACGACUGGAGUGAGAAGUGGAUUCUACAGAGGCAUGGUGGGUCCAUUACCCGAUCCUUGCAUGUUCAGAGUAACGGAGGCCUAUGAAAAAUGCAGUAUUGAGGACAGGCCACUUGUGACUACAAUGAACAUGAGAGCCGACAAGCCCCUUGUGGAAAGUGCCUUCGGGAUGGUGCAGGAGGGCAGUGUUCCGUCAUAUCAGAUGCCUGCUUUGAAAUCUCGUUACAUCGUUCUUCACAAUGGUGCACCACCAACACCACACUUGCCUCUAGAGGGAUAUGACAUCUUGCCAUGUGAGUGUGUGUUUGUAUGUUCUGAAGAGGAGCUACUGCAUAUGACCAGCUUAUCUGUUACUAUGAAAAUGGCACACACAAUUGAGGAGGCUACCUGUGAGCAAAGCUCUUGCUCAGAGUGGCAUCAGCUUCGCAGACCGAGGGUGACCGCGUCUAGAUUUCGAGAGGUGUGUCAUGUCAGAAGCAAGAGCUCUGCAGAGUCACUUGCAGAGCGGAUCAUGAAAGGUACAAGGCAGACGGCGGACAUGAGAAGAGGUUCUGAGAUGAAGCCCACAGUAUCAGUCGAGUACAGUAAACUAGCGAAUGUAAACUAUUCACCCUGCUACCUCCUAGCUUGGUGCCUCCCCCGAUGGAGUUGUUUUUGACCCCACUGAAUACCCCCAAUUUGGCCUUGUUGAGUUCAAAUGUCCCAAUGUUCAAAACUAUGUCGACUGCAAAUAUGUAAAAAUGGAAUGUGGUUCCCCUAAGCUAAAGAAAAGCCAUGCAUACUACUGGCAAGUGCAAGGUCAACUUCUUGUCACUGGGAUGCAGUGGUGUGACUUUGUUGUGUGGGCGCAGGAGGACUAUCUUGUGCAACGGAUAUACAUCGAUCCAGAAGUGCAAACUGCAAUCCGAGAAAAGGUUGACGCUUUUUUUUCCCACACAUACAUGCCUAAGUGCCUUUCAUUCAAAUAAAUACCACUGAACAUUUCCCCUCCUGCAUUGUAAGCCAUUUUGAGGAAGCUAACUCUGAAUCACAUGUUAUGAAUGUUUAACAUAGCACC